UACAGAGGGUGCAAGCGUUAAUCGGAAUUACUGGGCGUAAAGCGUGUGUAGGUGGUUUGCUAAGUCAGGUGUGAAAUCCCUGGGCUCAACCUAGGAAUUGCAUUUGAUACUGGCAGACUCGAGUGCGGUAGAGGAUGGUGGAAUUCCCGGUGUAGCGGUGAAAUGCGUAGAUAUGCGGAGGAACACCGAUGGCGAAGGCAAUCUCCUGGGCCUGCACUGACGCUCAUGCACGAAAGCGUGGGGAGCAAACAGG
rnacentral:rRNA from 1 species